rnacentral:rRNA from 1 species
GAUGAACGCUGGCGGCGUGCCUAAUACAUGCAAGUCGAGCGAACAGACGAGGAGCUUGCUCCUCUGACGUUAGCGGCGGACGGGUGAGUAACACGUGGAUAACCUACCUAUAAGACUGGGAUAACUUCGGGAAACCGGAGCUAAUACCGGAUAAUAUAUUGAACCGCAUGGUUCAAUAGUGAAAGACGGUUUUGCUGUCACUUAUAGAUGGAUCCGCGCCGCAUUAGCUAGUUGGUAAGGUAACGGCUUACCAAGGCAACGAUGCGUAGCCGACCUGAGAGGGUGAUCGGCCACACUGGAACUGAGACACGGUCCAGACUCAUACGGGAGGCAGCAGUAGGGAAUCUUCCGCAAUGGGCGAAAGAUUGACGGAGCAACGCCGCGUGAGUGAUGAAGGUCUUCGGAUCGUAAAACUCUGUUAUUAGGGAAGAACAAAUGUGUAAGUAACUAUGCACGUCUUGACGGUACCUAAUCAGAAAGCCACGGCUAACUACGUG